rnacentral:rRNA from 1 species
GACAGGUGGUGCAUGGUUGUCGUCAGCUCGUGUCGUGAGAUGUUGGGUUAAGUCCCGCAACGAGCGCAACCCUCGACCUUAGUUGCCAGCAUUCAGUUGGGCACUCUAAGGUGACUGCCGGCUAAAAGUCGGAGGAAGUGGGGAUGACGUCAAAUCAUCAUGCCCCUUAUGACCUGGGCUACACACGUGCUACAAUGGGCGGUACAAAGGGUCGCGAACCCGCGAGGGGGAGCCAAUCCCAAAAAGCCGCUCUCAGUUCGGAUUGCAGGCUGCAACUCGCCUGCAUGAAGCCGGAAUCGCUAGUAAUCGCGGAUCAGCAUGCCGCGGUGAAUACGUUCCCGGGUCUU